AAAAAAUUAAAAGCGCCAGAACUUAAGAGCGCCUAGACCAAAUCAAAGAUUUGAUUAGAAUUAGGAAACUCAGAGAUCACUACGUUCUCUCUGAGUAAGUUCGCCUAAGCCAAAUCGAAGAUUUGAGGCUCACUUAAGUUGACGAGGUUGGGAGUUAUCGAACUUUUCGGCGGGUGCCCCACGGUAUCGCACUACCGUUAACGAUUGGCAAAGCUAUGGAGCGAUUCGUAGUACAAAUCCAAUCUGGUGUUAAAA
rfam:Clostridium baratii str. Sullivan, complete genome.